CAAUCCAAGCUCACAGUGAGCUUAGUGAGGUUCCAAGGAAGCUCGGAGUGCUUCGUUGGAAGUUUUUGGACGUAAGAACACGGAGAUGGAUAAGUUCAAAGUUUGGCCGGAGCUUUCGAGGCAUUUUCCGGCGAAUCCCCGGCGAGUUAGGCGUCGAAGUAGGUAUCAAUCUCUUCGUCUCGUCAAGUACUACAACUUUCCUUUUUGUUUCACUCAAUUUCGUUGAGUAUUGAAGAAGUUAUACUCAUUUGAAAAAAUACCCAGUUUCCGGCGACCUCCGAGGCUUUCGAGGCAGUUUCCGGCCAAACUACGGCGAACUAGGUGUUGGGAAAGGUACCAUUCUCUUUGUCUCUUCAAGGGCUACAACUUUCGUUUUUGAAUCACUUGAUUUCGUUGAGAAAUGACAAAGUUAUGGCAAUUUGAAAAACUGCCCAGAAAACGGCCGCCGGAAAAACCAGUCCGGCGACCCAAGGAAGAAGAAGGUGCUACAGUAAAAAUAAAAAAUAAAAAUAAAAUUAUUUUAAAAAUAUGUCGACGUCCGUGACGUCGAGUAGAUCACUGUGGUAUAUUCAUAUACCUAAAUUGAACACCGUAUGAGAAAGUUAUUGAAGAUUGUUGGUUAGGUGUUCAAAUAACGUCUUA
rnacentral:lncRNA from 1 species